UUAGAAUUCAUUUACUUUUCUCUCUAUCCAACUAAUACGUGAUUAAAAUUUCAGACCUUGGCACAAGCGCUUUGACCGUGACGGGGUGUUGUGACGGUAUCCCUCAUAAAAUCAAGCAGAAUCCUGGGCGUGGAAGACUGACCUGCGUAAACUGCCCUCGUUCAUCUCUGCUUUCCACGGGGUUCCAUCCAUGAAUGGCAAAGGCCGAGCACAAGGAGUGGACCGUUGUCACCAAGAAAAUUCUAUGAGAUAUCACCAUCACUACAACUGUUGACCCUGUCAAGAUAAGUCAAUAGUAACCUUUUUUUCCCCUAAGAAUGUAUAUAGCUAUGUAGUAGAGAAGACUAUGUCAGAUGGGAACAGACAAGAGCCUCAAGCUAUGGAGCACCUGACUUCUGCCUUGUAUUCACAGAGAAAAAAGUUGGUGUGAAGAGAAAAUGCAUUGAAGUCAGAGGGAAAGAGAAAGAGCCUAAGAUAAUGGCUCUCCUGCUUUGUGUGAAAUAUUUAUGUCUACUUGUAGUAAACCCCGGAAUUGUGACCACGCACCCAUAACAACUAUUAGCAGCACCCUGUGUACCCCAGGCACCACGCACCUCUUCUUUAUACUUAGAGUUCAUUUUGCUGUCAGAAUUGGGGGACUUUUCUGUGAGAUUUUCUCAUUCCAGCCUUUCAUCUUCCAAAUAGUGUUCUGAUAUAUUUCGGUUGUUUUAUUUGCUCCACAAGGGAUCAAAUUAACCAUAACUCUGGCCCAUGGCAUGCACCAUUAUUGAUGUCUUCUAGUAAAAACUCUCUUGUUUUGUUCAUAUCUUUGUUUCUCCUUUUAUGGCAGGUAAUAAUGUUCUCCUGUGUAUAUCUGUGUUUAGUUGCUUUGUGGAAUCUUUCUCCUGUACUGCAGAUGGAGCCCAGGACUCUACCCAUGCUCGGUAAAUGCCUAAUGCCAAGCUAUAUCCCCAUUCCUAGACAUACACUUUUCAAGUUCUCCAAAGUUGGGGAGAUGUAUAUCCUAUCAUGUGUUUUAUUUGUUUCACUGAGUGUGGUUUUCCAGAUCCAUACCCUAUGCCAGAUACUGACGUUUACUCUGCCUCAUGGUGAUGCCUCUCUUGACCCACUCUUGCAGGACCAGACUCCAGUGUCAGCUCCAGGCAUACUUUGUAACCGUACAUGGGACAUCCCUGAUUGCUCCAUACUAGAACUGUAACAAGGUUUCCUUUGUACUGUGUAAGGCCCCUGGUUGUGGCUCUGUUUGAAGUAUCUAAGAAAUUCUGAGUGACUGGCUCUGCAAAGCAGGCGAAAAGAGUGCAGGACUCUGACAACGCUUGCCACUUCCUCGCCUGGUUUUGGUAGAUAUCAAGAGAUACCACAUCCUUGGUUGAGCUUGCAAUUACAUUACUAACCACUUUAAUAAAAUUUCCAUAUACCUGUUAGGUUUCCCUCCUUAGUAAAUUGCCUGUCCAUACUUGUUGCUUUGUGCCAGCGCUCUGCUGUUCUGUUCCUGUUUCUUUGCAGGUGUUAUUUGUACAUUUCUGGAAUGGUAUUUCAUUCUUGUUAGUCAUCGACCUACUUUGUCUGUGAUGCCCUUUGAAAUUCACAAAUUCUAACAGAGGAUAAAUAUGUCGAAUUUAUUCUUUGCUCCUGCUACAGAAAAUGGAAUGCUUGUUACUGCUACAAUCAAAACUCUUUGAGUUUGAAUUUGUAACAUUUUUAUCUAUAUAACAUUAGCAUAUUAAAAGGUUAACUUUUUUGUUUGUUUUGAGACAGGGUCUCUCUAUGUAGACCAGGUUAGGCUAGAAUUCUCAGAGAUCCUACUGCCCCUACCUUCCAAGUGCUGGGAUUAAAUGCAUAAGCCAUCAUGCCUGGCUCAGUGUUAACUUUUAAAAGGUAUUUAUUUCAUGCAUUUAUGUGCAUGUGGUGUGUGGGUGUGUGGGUGUUCAGAAAUUUUAAAUUUUUGUAAUCAGAGUUCUUGUGGUGCUUUUGAAAGUACUGAUAUAUGGGUACCUACUCUCUCGGUUUGUUUAUUUUCUGCACAUCUGUGUAUCUGAAAUUUUUUGGUGAGCUCCCACUAGUCAUGACAUACAUGCCUCCAAAGAAAUUAUAUUGACUAAACAUCACCUUUGAACUUUUAUUCCCAUGGACUUUUCAACUACAAAAAUUAUACCUAAGUAUUUAAAGUCAGGUUUGUUUAUGUAUUUUGCCUGAUCUCUGUGGCUAUCAGGAACUCACCCAUGUGGUUAUUUUCAAGACUUUCCUUCGGGAUGCAAUUAGAUCCAGAGCAGCAUCAACUGCUCCUGUCAGCUCCUUCCAAACCAGGGGUUCUCAACCUUCCUAACGCUGCGACCCUCUCAUACAGUUCUGCAUGUUGUGGUGAGCCCCAACCAUAACAUCGUUUCAUUGCUGCUUCAUAACUGUCAUUUUGAUGGUUAUGACUUGUGAAUAUCUGUGUUCUCCGGUGGUCUCUGGGGGUCACAGUUGAGAACCUCUAUUCCAAGCAAUUACAUUUUCAUUAAAUUGUUUCAUCCUUCCUUCUGGAACUUGGCUUUGGCCCUUUAUUUGUUCUUGAGACGUUUUCUUAACUUCCAGCACAUUUUUACAAAGAUACUUCUUUCCUCUCCUUUUAUUUACUGGAGUGGUUCCCUUUGGAGUUCCACUCUCUGGGACAUAACAGCAACGCAUAGGAAGCUGUCUUCGUGACAUAGAGUGCUACGCUGGCGUUCUCUCACCAGAGAGAAAUGUACUUUGUACAUUGAUGUAGACACAAUAUGUAGGUUCA